rnacentral:rRNA from 1 species
GACGAACGCUGGCGGCGUGCCUAAUACAUGCAAGUCGAGCGGACUGAUUAGGAGCUUGCUCUUAUGACGUUAGCGGCGGACGGGUGGGUAACACGUGGGCAACCUGCCCUGUAGAUCGGGAUAACACCGAGAAAUCGGUGCUAAUACCGGGUAAUAUCUGAGAUCACAUGAUCUUAGGUUAAAAGAUGGCUCCGGCUAUCACUACAGGAUGGGCCCGCGGCGCAUUAGCUAGUUGGUAAGGUAAUGGCUUACCAAGGCGACGAUGCGUAGCCGACCUGAGAGGGUGAUCGGCCACACGGGGACUGAGACACGGCCCAGACUCCUACGGGAGGCAGCAGUAGGGAAUCUUCCGCAAUGGACGAAAGUCUGACGGAGCAACGCCGCGUGAGUGAUGAAGGGUUUCGGCGCGUAAAGCUCUGUUGUUAGGGAAGAAACAGUACCGAACGAACUAGGUCGGUACCUUGACGGUACCUAACCAGAAAGCCACGGCUAACUACGUG